GCCCUCGUGGUGUAACGGAUAACACAGCAGCCUUCGAAGCUGUUGAUCCGGGUUCGAUUCCUGGCGAGGGCA
rnacentral:tRNA from 1 species